rnacentral:rRNA from 1 species
UACGUAGGGGGCAAGCGUUGUCCGGAAUCAUUGGGCGUAAAGCGCGUGUAGGCGGCUCGAUAAGUCUGCUGUAAAAGUCCAGGGCUCAACCCUGGAAAGCCGGUGGAAACUGUCGAGCUAGAGUCCGGAAGAGGCGAGUGGAAUUCCUGGUGUAGCGGUGAAAUGCGCAGAUAUCAGGAGGAACACCAAUGGCGAAGGCAGCUCGCUGGGACGGUACUGACGCUGAUGCACGAAAGCUGGGGGAGCAAACAGG